AUUGAACGCUGGCGGAAUGCUUUACACAUGCAAGUCGAGCGGCAGCACGGGGGCAACCCUGGUGGCGAGCGGCGAACGGGUGAGUAAUACAUCGGAACAUGCCCAGUCGUGGGGGAUAACACUUCGAAAGAAGUGCUAAUACCGCAUACGUCCUGAGGGAGAAAGCGGGGGAUCGCAAGACCUCGCGCGAUUGGAGUGGCCGAUGUCAGAUUAGCUAGUUGGUGGGGUAAAGGCCUACCAAGGCAACGAUCUGUAGCUGGUCUGAGAGGAUGAUCAGCCACACUGGGACUGAGACACGGCCCAGACUCCUACGGGAGGCAGCAGGUGGGGAAUUUUGGACAAUGGGGGCAACCCUGAUCCAGCCAUUCCGCGUGAGUGAAGAAGGCCUUCGGGUUGUAAAGCUCUUUCAGCAGGAACGAAACGGCGAGUACUAAUACUGCUCGCUAAUGACGGUACCUGAAGAAGAAGCACCGGCUAACUACGUG
rnacentral:rRNA from 1 species